AUUGAACGCUGGCGGCAGGCCUAACACAUGCAAGUCGAGCGGAUGAAGGGAGCUUGCUCCUGGAUUCAGCGGCGGACGGGUGAGUAAUGCCUAGGAAUCUGCCUGGUAGUGGGGGAUAACGUCCGGAAACGGGCGCUAAUACCGCAUACGUCCUGAGGGAGAAAGUGGGGGAUCUUCGGACCCCACGCUAUCAGAUGAGCCUAGGUCGGAUUAGCUAGUUGGUGGGGUAAAGGCCUACCAAGGCGACGAUCCGUAACUGAUCUGAGAGGAUGAUCAGUCACACUGGAACUGAGACACGGUCCAGACUCCUACGGGAGGCAGCAGUGGGGAAUAUUGGACAAUGGGCGAAAGCCUGAUCCAGCCAUGCCGCGUGUGUGAAGAAGGUCUUCGGAUUGUAAAGCACUUUAAGUUGGGAGGAAGGGCAGUAAGUUAAUACCUUGCUGUUUUGACGUUACCAACAGAAUAAGCACCGGCUAACUUCGUG
rnacentral:rRNA from 1 species